rnacentral:rRNA from 2 species
CGUGUAGGUGGUUUGGUAAGUAGGGCGUGAAAGCUCCUGGCUCAACUGGGAGAGGCCGUUCUAAACUGCCGAACUAGAGGAUGGUAGAGGGAGGUGGAAUUCCGGGUGUAGCGGUGGAAUGCGCAGAUAUCCGGAGGAACACCAGUGGCGAAAGCGGCCUCCUGGACCAUUCCUGACACUCAGACGCGAAAGCUAGGGUAGCAAACG